rnacentral:tRNA from 2 species
CGGGACGUAGCGCAGCUUGGUAGCGCACUUGCAUGGGGUGCAAGGGGUCGAAGGUUCAAAUCCUUUCGUCCCGACCA